GUUGCAGCAGUCGUGUAUUAUGAUGAUGCGCUUACAGCGCGCAUGCUCGCCGCGCACGCCAGCGCCACGAUCGGUCCAUUUCCUCACUACCGCCGUACGCAUCUACCAUUCAGGCAUCGUUGCGAUUGCAUUAACCAUUGCCCGUUGUACCGUCGGCGUCCGAGUGUUAUCACUCCGUUAGCGUACGCACACACUCGGUCGUUUCGCUUCCGCGGCGCCAACACGGUGUAACGCGCAAAAUAUAACGUCGUCCCUUCUCAGUCCGCCACUGUCCCGCGUCUCUUCCUGUCGGUGCGUCGUCGUUGUUGUUGUUGUUUGGUUUAUCCGGUCCCAACAACUCGACUGCCCCGGACACCGCCGGCACCACCACCGUUGCGUAGUGUCUCCCCGUGAUCACCCGAUCCCCGACCGCGCACUUUACACGACAGUCGGCGAUUCCUCGAUCACGCGCUUCACGGCGGGUCGGUGGCUCUUAGAUCGCGGCGUCCCAACGUGACAUUCGUGCGCCCACCGCGAUGAUCGUGACUUACGACCGGUGCACCGGCGGCGGUGCGUCAUUCUCCGGACCCAUCGGAAUUCAGGACGAUUUAAAUAUGAGCUAAUAUGGAUGAAUCUUGCACAGAAAAUAAUAGUUUAAUGAGACAAUUUAACAAACAAGUCGAAAAACCAUCAAAUAAAAGAAAUUUAUCUUCUGGUUUAGAAUUAGUAGAUGAAAAUCAUUCUAAUAUUGAUUUAAAAUCAAAUCUACCAACUAGAAAACAAAGACUUAAAGAAUAUUUAACUACAACUCACAUACCUGAUAAAAACAUUAAUUCAACUUAUAAAUUACACAAUUUUUCUACUGUUAAUUUGAUUAAUUUUGUUCCAAAAAUUGAUGAUUAUAACAAACCAGUAAAAGUUAAAUCACAAUGGACUCGUACAAGUCAAAUGGAAUUAGCAUUAGAAAAUUCUGCAUCCCUUCAAACUAAUAAUACUGAACCUGUAAAUAAUUUAUCUAAGUAUGAAAAACUAAAUGAGGUAUUUACAAUGGCUGUUUCACCCACAAAUGGUGUUAUUAAUCAAAUUAAUGAAUUUCCUAAUACAAUUGACACUAGAAAAACCAAUAAAAAAAGUGGUCCUAUUAUAGAUUUUGAAAACAAUUGUCGUGUUGUUGUACAUAAAUUUGAUGAUAAUUUAGUACAAGUAAAAAGAAAAAGGGGUCGACCUAAGAAGUCUAGUAAUAAUAUUAAAGAUAACACAUCAAUCAAUUCAAAUAUUGUUACUCAACAACCAAUCAUAACUAAUUCAAUUGCUGAUAUAGAACCUAAAACUACUAAUGAACCAAAAGUUAUUAAGAGAGGCCGCGGCAGGCCAAAAAAAAAUGGAAUCACAUCAACCACUAUUCAAAUGCCACCAAGUGUAUCAAAUUCUAUUGCAGUAAAAAAAAGAAAAACGCGAAGUUCCACUGCUGUAAAGAAGCGAACAAAAUUGAUAAGAAAAAGUGAUCAAUUUGAAAAUGAAGACCCAAACGAUUCAGAAUUGCCUAAAUUAGAUCUAAUACAGCCAACAGAUUUGUAUACUAGUGAAGCAAUAAAUUCUAUAAAUAAUGAAAAGUCUUUAAGUUUAGAUACACCAGAAAUAAAUGUUAAUUCUUCAAGUUCAGAUGAAUCGGAAGUAAGUGAAAACACAUCAAUUCUAAUAUUUCCAGACGAUGGUGUUGAAUUGAAGUGUAUAAGUUUAUCACGAAUUGAUAAACCAGAAAGCACAUCAUUGAUUACUUUGGGAAGUUGUGAUAGAUCAUAUUUACAAGAAAAAACGGAAAGUAUGAUUUUAAAAAAUGUUAAUGGGUUAAAUACACAAGAAAAAACUACAUAUUGUGUUAAUUUUUUAGAAGGAUGUGAUGAUUCUAAUGCACAUGAAAACACAAAAUGUACUCAUUUUUUAGAUGAAUGUGAUAAUUUAAAUGAACAAGAAAAUACUACAAGUGUUCAUUUUAUAGAAGGAUGUGAUAAUUUAAAUGUACAAGAAAACACUACAUGUGGUAAUUUUCUAGAAAUAUGUGAUACAAGAACAGUUAACAUUGAUGAAUUUUCAGUUAAAAGUAAACAAGAUGUGUUCUGUGAACUUAAAAAUGUUGAUUGGAAUCCAGUACCUAAACGGGUUAGAUCGAACAGUGUAAGUGAAGGAAUUAAAAUACCAAGUCGGAGAAAUUCUCUUUCUUAUAAUUUUGUGUACAAUUCCUCAAAAAAAUCAAAAGUUGUUAAUGAAGAUAUCAUGUUACUGAGAUCUUGGAAAAGUCUUUCUUACUUAGAAGGUGGACCAAAUAUACAGGUUGAACGAAUCAUACGAGAUGAACUGGUUAAAAAAUUUAGAUCAAAAUUGAAACGUAGCAGAAGUUUUCCAAACUGCUUGUUUUUAGAUACAGUUAUCUGGAGAUUUCUAGUUUAUCAACAAGAAUAUAAUUCAGAAGAAGGUUAUGAAGUGAUACCAGGUUUAGAUUCAAAUUCGGAUACGGAUUCAGAAUCAGAUAUGAGUUUAAUAAAUGAAAUUCCAGCUGUUAGAUGUGACCACCAUUACCGUUCCAAUAGUAUGCCAAAAGACCAAUAUAAACCAAAAGAAAAAACUAGCCAUAUGUCUCGAAGUUUAGAAAAUUUAAAUAUUUUGGGUUCUACUAAUGAUCCACCAUUUUUCCAAACGCCCUCAAAUUUAAGUGAUUUGAUAAACACUGAAAGUGAUCCAGAGGAAACUGAAGGCAAGAUAAGACGAUCUAAGCGAUUAAAUACCAAAAUGAAAAAUAGUGAUAUGUUGGAGGAAGAAUAUUUAUUAUCGUCUGAAAAUUCAAAAACUGACUCUUUAUUAUUGGCUGAUGAAAUUCGAAAAGAAAAUGAAAGAAAUUUAGCAGAAGCUAGAGCAAUUGAUUCAGAGUUGGAUAAAAAAUUAAAAAAAUUGAACUUCAUUUUAAUAACUAAUAAUUUGUUCAGGCCUCAUAGGAAAAAAAUGAGUGAGUAUACACCAGCAGAAGCACAAGAGUUACGGAGACUAAAACCAAGGAGAAUUAUCAAUUCUGAUACUUAUAAAUGCCAUUGUAAAUAUACUAGAAAAGACUGGAUUGAAAAAAAACCUGGAUGUGCUACAGAAUGUUUAAAUCGUUUAUUGAAUAUUGAAUGUGGUAAAGCUUGUGUAUUAAAGUCACUUUGUACAAACAAGCAAUUUCAAAAUAAACAAUUCAAACGUACCAAAAUUGUCAAAACUGCAGAUAAAGGUUAUGGUGUUUUUGCACUUGAAGAUAUACCUAGUGGAACAUUUGUUGAUGAAUAUAUGGGAGAAGUUAUUGAUCAAAAUGAAAUGAUAAAAAGAAUGAAACUAAAAGUGUAUAUGUUUAACAAUUAUAUGGUGCAAUUGAAACAUGAUGAAAUAAUCGAUGCUACACGAAAAGGAAAUAUUACAAGAUUUAUAAACCACAGUUGUGAACCAAACUGUGUUGCAGAAAAAUGGAAUGUGUUAGGUGAAUCGCGAAUGGGAUUUUUUAGCAAACAAUUUAUACAAAAAGGAGAAGAAAUCACUUUUGACUACAGUUUUGAAAUAUUUGGAGAUGCUGCUCAGCAAAAGUGUUAUUGUGGCACAUCAAAAUGUCGAGGAUUUAUAAGCAAAAAGUCGAGAACCGGUGAUCAAAGCAGUUCUGAUGAAAGCAGUUCCGAUGAAAGUGAUGAAAAUGUAGAUGACACGUUAGUGGUUAAAUCAGAUACAUGUCUGGAAAAGAAAAAAAAACCAAUAAACAAAAUCACUAACAAAGAUAAAAAACGUUUACGACAGCUUGACAAACAGUUAACAGAUAUCAGUAAAUUAAGAAAUAAAAACCGUUCUGACAUGGAGAGUUCAACAUUAAAUUUAAAUAAGUUAAUGGUUCAUAUCACAGAUUCAAUGAGUAGAUCACAUAUUUUGAAAUUUAUUCGAGAUAAUGAUUUAAACUGUAAAAGGUUAUUUAUGAAUUUUAACGGGUUAAAUAUAAUACAUAGCUGGAUGACUUCAAAUAACAACGAAAACUUAAAAUUAGAAAUUGUUCAAACACUUUCAGAUCUUCCAAUUUCUAACAGAAAUACAAUAACUAAAUCAAAAGUUUUAGAUAUUGUUGCUCAAUGGGCUAAUAUUCCAUUAAAUAUAAAAGAAGCUAUUGAAAAUUUAAAUUAUCCGAUAUCACAAAUUAAGGAACACGAGGAUGAAGUUGAUAAAUUAUUACCAGAUGUAAACAAUACAUCAGCAUUAGUUCAAGCAGCUAGAGUGUUGUGGAAAAAAUGGAUAGUUCUGAAAAUUGUUUUUAAAAUUCCAAAAUUAGAUCGUCCCAAAGAAGUGAACAUUGCUGAUGAUAUUAGCCAACCACCAAUACAUUUUUUGCAACCUAAACCAAAUUCUGUUCCAUGUCAUAUUGAAAAUUCUACUGUUGAAUCUAGUCAACCUUCUAAAAUAAGUUCUAUGCAAAGUCAGAGUACUGGACAUGGUCAGACCAAUUCCAUGGAUACAUUAAAUAAAAUAAUUAAUCAUCACAAUCAGUUAAACAAUCGAGACAGAAACAAAUCUGUUUUCGAAUGGAAUAAAAAACACUGGGCUCUUCCUUUUAAAACAAAUAAGGAUAUUAGUUCUUCUGUGGUAAAUUAUUCAAGCAAUUCAAUUUUAAAUCCAAAACAAAGCUCAACAUCUACAUUUAAAUCAAGAAUUAUGCACAUUGAUAUUCCAACCAUUGAGAACAGUACACCUACUAAAAAUAUGAAAUGGAGCGGCAUCGCUGAAACCAGCUCAACAGUUUAUGAUGUUUCUACUGAUUCUUCUGAAAAAAUUAAUUCUAAAAAUACACAAAAUAAUAGACUUUUUGAAACUGAACCAACUAUAUAUUACCCUAUUGAAGAAAUUAUUACCACAAAUCAAACAUGGAAUUUACCGCCUCCAACAAUUGCUGAUCUUUGUAAUGGAUCUACUCUGCAUUCUAUGCUAAAAACAGUACCUCCAUGUUUACCAAAUGACUUUAUUUCAAAUACGUCUAAUGCAACUAGUCUAUGUUUAUUAUCUAAUGAUACUAAUUGGUGUGUAAUGCAACCGGAAAAUGUGAUGUAUGAUGCUCAACAUCCAAGUAUUCAAGAACAAUUGGCUUUCUUACCAAUAGACAUAACGGCCAACAAAUCAACAAAUCAAAAAACUCAAUUAAAUAUUAAUGAUGAAAAUACAGAUUUUGUUAAAAACUACAAAGUAGUACAGCCACUAGAUUAUGAUACGCGUAAAAAAUUAUUUAAACAAUGUGAAAAAAAUGUGCAACAACUAAUUGAUAAAAGAAUAUUGAAUAUGAGCAAAUCUGCUAAGCUAAAUUACCUCGAUCAGUCUCCAAUCAAAAUACUUCAAUCAUUUUUCAAUAAAAAUCUCGUGAAAUCAACAAACAUGACACCUGAAAACAAUCAAAAUCAAUAUGUUUUGCCCAACUUAAUCAAACGUAUAAAAGUAAUUAGUAAUGGUUAUCGAAAACAACCAUCCAAAAUAAUUGAAAUAAAUAAUAAAGUAAAAUCAAAUUCUCAGAAAAGUAAAAAUGAUAUAUUUAGAAUUAAAGAAGACCAAAAGACUGAAAUAACUGAUACAACUUCAAUAGCUUUAAUAUUACAUAAUGAACAACUAAGUACUGUUCCUGAAGCACUUAACUUAAAUAAAGUGUUCGGUAAGCAAUCGUUUAAAGCAAAUACAAAAAAUAGAUUAGCAUUAAAAAUUUUAAAUGGUUUAAUAAAACAUAAUUCAGCCAUGCCCAGAAAUUUUAUUCUCCAAUUCCCAUUAAAUACCAAGAUAAUUACUUAUGACCCUUUAAAUGAAUUAGAUAUUCACUGCAAAUUAAUUCCAUCAGUACAAAAUAUUUUGUGUGCUAAAUUAAAUAGGGGAGAUGGUAAAGAUACCAUAAAUGUAUUCAAACAAAAAAUAGUUAUGAAAUAUGAUGAAAAAAAGGUCCUAGAACCUUUUAGUUUAGGAUCAUUAUUAAAAGAAAAUAUUGUUUUAUCAUCUAACAGUGUAGAAAUAACUCAAGUUAAAAAACAAUUAAAAAGAAAAAUGCCUUUACCACCAUUGCAUAAUGCAAAAAAUAGAAAAAUUAUUGAUUCAUCAUUAAAAAAUAAAUCCAAAAAUCAAGCUGCAAUAAUAAAUAAAACUGAUGAUAAUGCAGUUUUCAAAAUACCAAUGCUCCCUGUUACUAAUAAAAGCAACCCUCCCCGUAUUAAUACUACGGUUACCAUCCAAAUGCAAGAACAUAAAACAUUAAGUACUGCACAACUCAAUUCAAAAGUAAAUGAUUUUAGAUUGGUACCUAGUACAUCAAGUCAUAUAAUAUCAGAUAUUGAUCUAUUAAAAGUAAAUAUAAAUGAAUUAAAUGAAGAACCUAAUAUAUCUGAUCCAUUAAUCAUAAAUAUUACGUCGUUAAAUACAAAUGCAAAUGAAAUUAGACAAAAACCUCUAAUGAAGUGUUCGCCAUUCAACAAAGUAGACAACAUUUUAAUAACUGAAUUGGAGCAAAAUGCUAAAUUUUUAGCUUCAAGUAUAAGUAUAGAUUCCACAGAUGUUUUACCUUCAGUAGAAGCUAAUAGUGAGCUAAUUGAUCCGAUUGUGAAGAAUUUCAAAAAUUCUAUUAGCCAAAAUAAAUCUAUGGUACGAGGAACCCUUGUUGACGAUCCUAUUGUGAGGGAUUAUAUACAACGUACUCAAUUUAAAACAAUUGAAACAAAACGUAAAUUUAAACUGCCAGAAAGUAUGAUGUCUUUACCUGAUGAGGUUCUUGACCUUGUACCAGAUAAUCAAAGAGAAAUCAAGUAUGUUAUUGACUUUUAUCAUGCUAUGGCUACAGUUAUUGUCAAAGUACUAGACUUGUAUGUGAAAAAGAGUUGCAAACAAGGGCGUAUAAAAAAUGAUGAUGAUUUCAAAUAUUUAGCUAAAAAGCUCAAUUCAAAUAUUUUAUUCAAAGAACUUCAAGUUAAGAAGGUAGAAGAUUUAAGGAUUAGUGAUAGCGUUAAACAGAAAGUCGAACAGUAUAUUAAAAAAUAUAUGCUGAAGUAUGGAAAAUUGUACAGAAGAAAAAGUACUGAUCAAUGAUCCUGUCAAACAUUUUCAACCAAAUAUAAGUUCAUUAUGGAUACUAUUUAUUAAAAUAAGAAAUAUCCCAUUUUUUUUUUUACAAAUUUUACUUUUAAACUUUCCAAGUCAAUUUUACACUGCCAUUUAUGAAUAAUCAAGAGAAAUAAAUUAUGUUGGCAAAAUUUCAGACUCUGCUGAGACAAAAAUAUGUUAAUUAUAUAUUUACAUGUUUAAAACUUAAUUGAUACCAAUCAUGUUUAUAAUGUUAUCAAUAUAAAAAUUGAUAUUCACGUGUGAAAACUCAAGUAGGCUAUUUUUAAUUUAUUAAGUAUUAUUUUUUUUUUGUAAAUACAUUUUAAUUGAGUACCUUUUAUUAUAUUUACAAAUGGGAAAAGCUUCUGUUUCUAUUUCAUAAUAUAUAAAUAUAUAUAUUACGAUUUAAGUUUGAUGAAACAACCCGCUGAUCUCUAACUACAUGUAUAUUUUCAUAUUAAUAUUUGUUUAUGUGUAUUCUAUGUGUUUAUUUGUACAAAUAUUUAUUUAACUGUAUAUUCUUUUUCUAAAUAUGUGUUUACAUGAAUAUAAUCUAUUUUGUAAUUUUGACCUCAUAGCUCAAUAAUCAUUCAUUUUGUACUCCAAAGCUUUUGAUUCAGUUUUUAAUUAUUGUUGUAUAUGUUCUAAUUGUGCAUACAUUUUUUCUCUAAGUUGUAUUAUUGUGUACCAGAAUUUUUUUUGUUAAGUGAGAGUAAAAAUCUUAUGUAUCUUUAUUUUGUAAAAAUAUAAAUACAUUUUAAACUAUAAUUUGCAUAUUCUAAUAUCUAUUCAUUCAACAUUUAUUUUAUUAUAUUGACACAGCCAAAUAUUAUGAAGUAGAUAAUAAAAAUACAAAAAAUGGUAGUACUAAGAAAUAGAAAAAAUUUGUUAACAUGUGUCCUGUUUUGUUUUAGUCACUUUGUUAUAUAUUUCUUAAAUAAAAUAUUUAUAUUAUACAAUACAUAAUAAAUUACUUAAAAACUUGUUUAAUUUACUAAAUGUAAUUAAAUUGAAAGAAUUAAGUUACUUAAAAAUACACUAUGAUAUCAUUAUUUAUUAUUUUAAUGUGGAUUUUGGAGUUAUUUUAUGUAUAUUAUUAUUUGCAAUUCCAUAAAUUUAUAAUUUGUAAAAAUAAAAAUCUGUUGACUCCAUUACUGUAUUUUAUCUUUCUAGAUAAAUUUUAUUAAAUAUAUUAUAACAUGUGUUUCAUAUAAAAUAGUGAUUUGAAGUUGAAUAUAGGUAUAUUUCAGUAGUUAGUAGCGUACAUUUUGAAAUAGUUUUUAUCAAUUUUUAAUUUCCCAAAGUAUUAAUUACAAUUUUUACUAAUUUAAAGGUAAUCAUAAAUAGGUUUUUAACACAAGUAUUUAUUUGAAAUAAUGUUUUAGAUCACAAAGACUAAAAAUCCCUAAAACUAAAAUUAAUAUUAAACUUUUUUAUACCAUUAUAAUAAAGUUAAUGGAUCAAUAGGGUAUUUUUUAUGAUUAAAUAUGAACAUAUUUUAAAUGCUAAUUAAGUUAUACAUGAAUACAUUAUUCACUGAGAAAACUAAGAAUAAUUUUAUAAACUUCUAAAUACAUUUAAGUUUGAUAUUAAUAGUAAAAAUUAUGUAUAAGAUAUUAUUAACUAUAAAUUAGGGGUUAUGAUUUUAAAUGUUAAAUUGAAAACAAAAUUAUUAUGGAUAUAUAAUAUUGUAGUUAAUUUUUAAUAGGUAUGUUGGAUACUGUAUAAUUUUAAACCUAUUUUGUUUAUAAUUUUUUAGUAUUAUUUAGUCAAUUAAAUGAUAAAAAAUAUAUAUUAGGUACUCAAUAUGUAAAUUAUUGUUUAAAAUUUUGUUAAUUUUUUUUUAUCGAUUUUUAUUGUUUGUUUAUUUAUCAUUAUUUAAUAAUGAAUUAUUUUUUUACCCUAUUAUUUAUUUUGUCCUAUUAUAUUAUAGUUUUUUAAACCUGAUUUAAAAAUGUCUACACUAUUAUUAAUCAAAUAAUAUACAUUCUUGUACCUAACAAAAUUAAAAAUUGUAAUUUUUAUGA